rnacentral:rRNA from 1 species
UGUGAGGCUGAUGUGUAGGCAAAUCCGCACAUCAUUAAGGCUGGGCUGUGAUGGGGAGCGAAAAUUGCAGUAGCGAAGGUCAUGAGUUCAGGCUGCCAAGAAAAGCCUCUAGCCAGGUGAAGGUGCCCGUACCGCAAACCGACACAGGUAGGCGACAGAGUAUGCUAAGGCGCUCGGAAGAACUCUCGUUAAGGAACUCGGCAAAAUGACCCCGUAACUUCGGGAGAAGGGGUGCCUCGGUAGGGUGAAUAGCCCGAGGGGGCCGCAGUGAAAAGGCCCAAGCGACUGUUUAGCAAAAACACAGGUCUGUGCGAAGCCGUAAGGCGAAGUAUACGGGCUGACGCCUGCCCGGUGCUGGAAGGUUAAGGGGAGUGGUUAGCCGCAAGGCGAAGCUAUGAACCGAAGCCCCAGUAAACGGCGGCCGUAACGAUAACGGUCCUAAGGUAGCGAAAUUCCUUGUCAGGUAAAUUCUGACCCGCACGAAUGGCGUAACGACUUGGGCGCUGUCUCAACGAGAGAUCCGGUGAAAUUUUAAUACCUGUGAAGAUGCAGGUUACCCGCGACAAGACGGAAAGACCCCAUGGAGCUUUACUGCAGCUUGAUAUUGGACUUUGGUACGAUCUGUACAGGAUAGGUGGGAGCCUUGGAAACCGGAGCGCCAGCUUCGGUGGAGGCAUCGUUGGGAUACCACCCUGAUCGUAUCGGAGUUCUAACCUGGUACCGUGAUCCGGUACAGGGACCGUGUCAGGUGGGCAGUUUGACUGGGGCGGUCGCCUCCUAAAAUGUAACGGAGGCGCCCAAAGGUUCCCUCAGAAUGGUUGGAAAUCAUUCGUAGCGUGCAAAGGCAUAAGGGAGCUUGACUGCGAGACCUACAAGUCGAGCAGGGACGAAAGUCGGGCUUAGUGAUCCGGUGGUACCGCAUGGAAGGGCCAUCGCUCAACGGAUAAAAGCUACCCUGGGGAUAACAGGCUUAUCUCCCCCAAGAGUCCACAUCGACGGGGAGGUUUGGCACCUCGAUGUCGGCUCAUCGCAUCCUGGGGCUGAAGUAGGUCCCAAGGGUUGGGCUGUUCGCCCAUUAAAGCGGUACGCGAGCUGGGUUCAGAACGUCGUGAGACAGUUCGGUCCCUAUCUGUCGUGGGCGUAGGAAAUUUGAGAGGAGCUGUCCUUAGUACGAGAGGACCGGGAUGGACGCACCGCUGGUGUACCAGUUGUUCCGCCAGGAGCAUAGCUGGGUAGCUACGUGCGGACGGGAUAAGCGCUGAAAGCAUCUAAGCGUGAAGCCCCCCUCAAGAUGAGAUUUCCCAGUAUGUAAGACCCCUGGAAGACGACCAGGUUGAUAGGUUCGAGGUGGAAGCGCAGCAAUGCGUGGAGCUGACGAAUACUAAUCGGUCGAGGGCUUAUCC